UUUAUCCUAAUUUCAUUUAUAUUUAUCAUAAUUUCAUCCAUAAGACGCCAGAAUCUACCACAAGCGUGAACCAAAAAGCAUAAAAAGGAUACAGUUACAUGCUCAAUUGAGACUCAGCAGCUAGCACCAAAUACAUAGCUCCCUCUAUACCAUCCGUGUGAAUGUUAAGUACAUCCAUGGGCCAACUCCCUAUUAUUGCCGAUGUUCAGGCAAUUCCUCCCUCCCCUGUACAUGCAGAAGCUGUCCACACCACUAGGAGUGCAUGGAUCAGACUUAACUAGCGGAAAACACUCCAGCACAUCACUGGACUCUGCAACCAGUUACCAUGGAGCUGAUCAACGAACUUUUUGUAAGCUUCAGACCUAUGUUUCAAGAGAACAAAAUACGAUUGUAGAUGCUCUAGCCAAGGCUGCGUCCAUCCAGUUAAACAAACUCUCGGUAUUCUUUUAAGAUAUAACACCUCAGAUCUGAAUCAAUCUGUACUAGACUCCCAACUUUUGCUCCAGGCCUUGUAGAGCACUAGGUAGGGUUCAGGCGACAUACAAACAGAUCCAGCAGCUCGCAUGAUCUUGAAUACCUAGAAAAAGAAUGUAGCAAGUGUUUAUGCUCUGAAUCAUAUGCAAGACAGUGCAUCUUCUUUAACAAGAACAGACUGAUAGAGAGAUUUUCACACCUAGGAAAUUAUUAUCAAGGAAAGUAAGAGGAGUACUUCAUACGAAACAGUAAUUUGUCCAAUGAUAUUUUUAAGGGCCAAGAAGGCAAUCGUCUAAUCAUGGAGCACAAGAAAAGUUACUUUAAUUAGCAUAUAAUUGCUAUGUAAAACAUCAUCUAUACACAACCAUCAGUUUGCUUUGACUACAAAGCUGUACAUGGUCGGCUGGUGUUGUCAUUGGACCAGCAUGUCCAUCAGUCAGAAGUUUUCAAGCAAACUUAUCUAACUACUGUGGAUUCUAUCUGGAGUAACAAUGCAUAAUAUAGACAAAGCCAAGUCAGAGAAUGUUUUCGAGUCCCAAAAUUCAAGAUAAUCUCUAGAGUAUAUAAGCCAUCACAGAAAGCAAACAUGUUGAUGUAUACCCCAGAUAACAUAACUGUAAAGUUGCAUAUUUUAGCAAGGAUGUAAAAAAGGAAAACCAUGAACAAAAAAUUAGAGAGCGUAUGCAAUGGAGAUCUCAAAAAGGAGAGUUCCUUCAUGAGUGGUAUGUUUCCAAAAUUACCAUGCACCGACCUUUAUAAACUCUCUAGGAAAUCGUAAUGGAUGCAAAUCUCCCUUGAUGUCAAGAGGAAGGGAUGAGAGCUGUAAGAGACAGAAUAGACUUUUGUCAGAUCCUGCAAGCACUAACCAAACAGAAGGUAAAUAGAUGUUUUAAUGAACUACACAAACAAUACAACAUACACAUUUCUAUUCUUGUAUUGACAUAUAUCAAUGUGUCAGUAAAUAGUAUAAAAUGUUGCCAUCGGUCCGGUCUAGACCAUUGUCUCAAUAAAUAGUAUAAAAUGCUAAAGCAUACACUUCGUAAAGACAUUAGAUUCUCACUAAAUGGUGAGCCGCAUUUUGAGCCAACCUCCUACAUAAAAUUUACUUCUCAAAGCAUUGUCAAAAGGUAACAUGGGUAACCAAUUAUUGUGUUAAAACAUCCUAGUUGAAAUUAGUUGUUACAUAUAACUUUCUCCCAAAAAUCAGCCUGACGACUUAAACUUAUUUUCCAUAUUCCAGUUCGGCCUAUAUACCACAAAAAUGAGGAAUGUUAUUGGAACCUGUACCACAGACCAUAACCAUGCAUCUGAUUGUUUACUUUCUUAAAUAAUGCCAAUGCUUAUAACCCAACUCUAUGUGAUAGUUCAAAGUUAGUGAGCAGCUCUCUUUCGUAGAUAACAUGUACAGAUGUGAGUCCUGCCCAUUUAUCCUACAGCCCAGCAGGUAUUUCCAGUAGGACCAAUGGCUCCAAACCGUUACAUCUGAACCAAGUAAAGUCGUACUACUCCGUCCCAUAAUGUAAGACGGUUUUGAAAGCUAACAUAGCUUGCAAAAAACGUGUACAGAUGUGAGUCCUGCCCAUUUAUCCUACAGCCCAGUAGGUAUUUCCAGUAGGACCAAUGGCUCCAAACCGUUACAUCUAAACCAAGUAAAGUCAUACUACUCCGUCCCAUAAUGUAAGACGGUUUUGAAAGCUAACAUAGCUUGCAAAAACGUCUUCCAUUAUGGGACGGAGGGAGUAUUGUUUUAGCAUAACCUAGUGAACUCACUUCCAGAGACUUUCAAUAGCUGAUAACUGAAAGACUACAUCUAUAAUUAAUUAGCUAAUUAGAGCAAAAGUGGAUCGCUGUGAAUCUGCAUAUGAGCAAACCUAAAUUAUUUUUAGAGCAAACAACUGAAAAUAAGAUCAAGCCAGAGACAGGUUAGUUGAUACUCCUAAAUACAAAUCACUAACACCAGGAGGCAACAUUCCCUUCAGUUGCUCCCAGAAAAGACUAUUUACCUAAAUAAGAUCCUCCAAUUAUCCACUAUGAAUUGCAAGAACAUGAAUAGAACAUUAGGAGUUCAAAGUUCAUUACCCGCAAUGAAGGAGACCUUACCUUGGCUCACAGGGGCUGUUUGGAUGCCGCCCGUACCAGCCUUGCCAAAUCGGGGCUCGCCAAAAAAUUAGCGCACUAUUUUGCCGUGUGGAUUCACCAACAACCUGACGCUAGAACUGAACAGGCAACCAAAACUUUGGCGCAUAACCAAAAAAUCUGCUUCCAACCAAAGGCCAACGAGCCAGACAAUGCUUUUCGUAAGGCUGUUGCUGGCUGUGAUGCAAACAGGCCCAUAGUCUCAAACUCUCAAUGCACCAGCAACUAACUUGAAAACUGAAAUUUUAAUUUGCAUUGCAGAAUGGCUUCAUCUCACACUUUCUUAGUUCCAAUACAUCUGUUUAAAAUCAUUAAUGCGGACGAAAAAGUUCAUAACGAAGCCAUGGUUUCUUCUCAACUGAAUGAUGGCACUACAUAUCAUGUUUGAAGAAAUAAACUAUCAGUUUCAUCACACGUUAGCAACGACUAGCCCAGGAUAUCUAUACACAACCAUCAGUUUGCUUUGACUACAAAAGUUGUACAUGGUUGGCUGGUGUUGCCAUUGGACUAGCAUGUCCAUCAGUCAGAAGUUUUCAAGCUAACUUAUCUAACUACUGUGGAUUCUAUCUGGAGUAACAAUGCAGAAUAUAGACAAAGCCAAGUCAGAGAACGCUUUCGAGUCCCAAAAUUCAAGAUAAUCUCUAGAGUAUAUAAGCCAUCACAGAAAGCAAACAUGUGGAUGUGUAGCCCAAAUAACAUAACUAUAAGGUUGAAUAUUUUAGCAAGGACGUAAAAAGGAAAACCAUGAACAAAAAAUUAGAGAGCGUAUGCAAUGAAGAUCUAAAAAAGAAUAGUUCCUUCAUGAGUGGUAUGUUUCCAAGAUUAACAUGAACAGGCCUUUAUAAACUCUCUAGGAAAUCGUAAAUGGAUGCAAAUCUCCUUCAUGUCAAGAAGGGAUGAGAGCUAUAAGAGGCAGAAUAGGCUAUUGUCAGAUCCUGCAAGCACUAACCAAACAGUAGGUAAAUAGAUGUUUUAAUGAACUACACAAACAACACAACAUACACAUUUCUAUUCUUGCAUUGACAUAUAUAAACGUGUCAGUAAAUAGUAUAAAAUGUUGCCAUCAGUCCGGUCUGGACCAUUGUCUCAGUAAAUAGUAUAAAAUGCUAAAGCAUACACUUCAUAAAGACAUUAGAUUCUCACUAAAUGGUGAGCUGCAUUUUGAGCCAACGGCCUACAUAAAAUUUACUUCUCAAAGCAUUGUCAAAAGGUAACAUGGGAAACCAAUUAUUGUGUUAAAACAUCUUUAGCUGAAAUUAGUUGUUACAUAUGAUUUUCUCCCAAAAAUCGGCCUGAUGACUUAAAACUUAUUUUCCCUAUUCCAGUUCAUCCUAUAUACCACGAAAAUGAGGAAAUUUAUUGGAACCUGUACGACAGAGACCAUAGCCAUGCAUCUGAUUGUUUACUUUCUUAAAUAAUGCCAAUGCUUAUAACCCAACUCUAUGUGAUAGUUCAAAGUUUAUUUAAGUGAGCAUCUCUCUUUCGCAGAUAACAUGUACAGAUGUGGGCCCUGCCCAGUUAUCCUACAGCCCACUAGGUAUUUCCAGUAGGACCAAUGGCUCCAAACCGUUACAUCUGAACCAAGUAAAGUUGUACUAUUUUAGCAUAACUUAAGUGAACUCACUUCCAGAGACUUUCAAUAGCUGAUAGCUGAAAGACUACAUCUAUAAUUAGUUAGCUAACUAGAGCAAAAGUGGAUUGCUGUGAAUCUGCAUAUGAGCAAACCUAAAUUACUUUUAGAUCAAACAGGAACUGAAAAUAAGAUUAAGCGAGAGACAGGUUAAUUGAUACUACUAAAUACGAAUCACUAAAACCAGGAGGCAACAUCCCCGCCAGUUGCUAUCAGAAAAGACUAUUUACCUAAAUAAGAUCCUCCAAUUAUCCACUAUGAAUUAAAAAAACAUUAAUAGAACAUUAGGAGUUCAUUACCCACAAUGAAGGAGACCUUACCUUGGCUCAUCGGGGCUGUUUGGAUGCCGCCCAUACCAGAUUUGCCAAAUCAGGGCUCGCCAAAAAAUUUGUGCACUAUUUUGCCGCGUGGAUACGACAACAACCUGAUGCUAGAACUGAACGAGCAACCAAAACUUUGGCGCAUAACCAAAAACUCUGCUUCCAACCAAAGGCCAACAAGCCAGUCAAUACCCAAAUAUUUUUGGUAAGGCUGUUGCUGGCUGGAUGCAAACAGGCCCAUUGUCUCAAACUCUCAAUGCACCAGCAACUAACUUGAAAACUAAAAUUUUAAUUUGCAUUGCAGAAUGGCUUCAUCUCACACUUUCUUAGGUCCAAUAAGUGUGUUUAAAAUCAUUAAUGCGGAUGGAAAAGUUCAUAACGAAGCCAUGGUUUCUUCUCAACUGAAUGAUGACACUACAUAUCAGGAUUCAGAAACAAACUAUCAGUUUCAUCACACGUUAGCAACGACUAGCCCAGGAUAUCUAGCAGACAUACAUCAACGGACAACCAGCACACAGUUACGAAUUUUCAUAACCCGUUCAUGGU
rnacentral:lncRNA from 1 species